rnacentral:rRNA from 1 species
UACAGAGGUCUCGAGCGUUAAUCGGAGUCACUGGGCUUAAAGGGUGCGUAGGCGGGUCCGCAAGUGCUUUGUGAAAUCCCAUAGCUCAACUAUGGAAUUGCUUGGCAGACUGCGGAUCUUGAGGUCGGUAGAGGCUGCUGGAACUCUAGGUGGAGCGGUGAAAUGCGUAGAUAUCUAGAGGAACGCCGAUGGUGAAGACAGGCAGCUGGGCCGAUUCUGACGCUGAGGCACGAAAGCGUGGGUAGCAAACGGG